UACGUAGGGGGCAAGCGUUGUCCGGAAUUAUUGGGCGUAAAGAGCGCGUAGGCGGUCCGGUAAGUCGGCUGUGAAAGUCAAGGGCUCAACCCUUGAAAGCCGGCCGAUACUGUCGGACUAGAGUCCGGAAGAGGCGAGUGGAAUUCCCGGUGUAGCGGUGAAAUGCGCAGAUAUCGGGAGGAACACCAAUGGCGAAGGCAGCUCGCUGGGACGGUACUGACGCUGAGGCGCGAAGCGUGGGGAGCAAACAGG
rnacentral:rRNA from 1 species